AAAGUCGUAACAAGGUUUCCGUAGGUGAACCUGCGGAAGGAUCAUUAUCACGUAUCCACGUAUAAACCAAACCGAGAACUGUCUUUUAGCCUUUAGGAGUAUGAGCUGGGUAGUGUCUGUUCAUUGUGUGGUUUUGAACGGCUACCUGAGUUGGUCAAUGAAAGAGAGGGUAGAAGUCUUUAAGUUUCGGCUUUUUGACUUCCUUUCUUUUGCUGAUCAUAACAUGGCUUUACUUCUGAAGUGUAUUUCAAAUCACACAUAUAAUCUUAUUAACCACUUGAACCACUUAAUGUUUUCUUUUGUAUGAACUGAAUUGUUUCUUACUCUGGAUUCUCUGGAGAAGAAAUUCUUUACGAAACAUUAGAACAACUCUUAGCAACGGAUAUCUUGGUUCUC
rnacentral:misc_RNA from 1 species